GGAUGUUAGGGCAAUCAGGCUGCGACAUCUGUCACCUCAUUGAUCACUAGGGUAAAUAUGGCUGAUCUGGCUGGCUAGGCAGGUGUCCCCUUCCUCCCUCACCACUCCUUGUGCAUGCCUCCCAAAGCUGCAUGCUGGGUCAAAGAAGACGACCAUCCUCAAUAGAUGAGGAUGAGUCUUCAGUAAAGGGUAUAUGAUUACUUGUGCUCCCUUGCUAGAACCUCCAAACAAGCUCUCAAGAAAUGUACGAUGAAAAAAAAAAAACUUUAAAAAUUCUUUUACCUUUCAAAGUAGCAACUAUAUUA
ensembl:misc_RNA RN7SKP199 RN7SK pseudogene 199